CCGUACAGACAGCACCCUUGGUCGGGAUCGAACCCGGGUCUCUGGUGCUGCAAGAUGGCAGCGCCACCAGCUGUGCCGAUGUGCUGCCUUAAUAAUAAAACUAAAUAUUUGUACAGUAAUACCUAACUCCACUCGAGAUGCAAGUAAGUUGAAUGAACUAAUAAAACUGGAGCAUUCGACCACUUUA